rnacentral:rRNA from 1 species
GGGAGGCGUAGCGAAAGCGAGUCCGAAUAGGGCGUAUAGUUGCUGGGUGUAGACCCGAAACCAAGUGAUCUAUCCAUGGCCAGGUUGAAGAUGCCGUAACAGGCAUUGGAGGACCGAACCCACAAAUGUUGAAAAAUUUGGGGAUGAGCUGUGGAUCGGAGUGAAAGGCUAAUCAAGCCUGGAGAUAGCUGGUUCUCCGCGAAAUCUAUUUAGGUAGAGCGUCAUCCGAAUACCCUCGGGGGUAGAGCACUGAAUGGGUAAUGGGGGCCCACAGCCUUACUGAUCCUAAUCAAACUCCGAAUACCGAGGAGUAAUAUCCGGCAGACACACAGCGGGUGCUAACGUCCGUUGUGGAGAGGGAAACAACCCUGACCUACAGCUAAGGCCCCCAAUUCAUGGCUAAGUGGGAAAGCAGGUGAGACGACCAAAACAACCAGGAGGUUGGCUUAGAAGCAGCCACCCUUUAAAGAGUGCGUAAUAGCUCACUGGUCAAGUGAUUCCGCGCCGACAAUGUAGCGGGGCUCAAGUCAUCCGCCGAAGCUAUGGCAUUCAGC